rnacentral:rRNA from 1 species
CCCUACGGCCAUGCCACCCUGAAUAUGCCUGAUCCCGUUUGAUCUCAGAAGCUAAGCAGGGUUGGGCCUGGUCAGUACCUGGAUGAGAGACCACCUAGGAAGACCAGAUGCUGUAGGUU